UGGGGAAUAUUGCACAAUGGGCGCAAGCCUGAUGCAGCCAUGCCGCGUGUAUGAAGAAGGCCUUCGGGUUGUAAAGUAUCUUCAGUCGGGAGGAAGGUGGUAAGGUUAAUAACCUUAUCAAUUGACGUUACCGACAGAAGAAGCACCGGCUAACUCCGUGCCAGCAGCCGCGGUAAUACGGAGGGUGCAAGCGUUAAUCGGAAUUACUGGGCGUAAAGCGCACGCAGGCGGUUGAUUGAGUCAGAUGUGAAAUCCCCGGGCUUAACCCGGGAAUUGCAUCUGAUACUGGUCAGCUAGAGUCUUGUCGAGGGGGGUAGAAUUCCAUGUGUAGCGGUGAAAUGCGUAGAGAUGUGGAGGAAUACCGGUGGCGAAGGCGGCCCCCUGGACAAAGACUGACGCUCAGGUGCGAAAGCGUGGGGAGCAAACAGG
rnacentral:rRNA from 1 species